UACGUAGGGUGCAAGCGUUGUCCGGAAUUAUUGGGCGUAAAGAGCUCGUAGGCGGUUCGUCGCGUCGGCUGUGAAAACCUGAGGCUCAACCUCAGGCCUGCAGUCAAUACGGGCGGACUUGAGUACUGCAGGGGAGACUGGAAUUCCUGGUGUAGCGGUGAAAUGCGCAGAUAUCAGGAGGAACACCGGUGGCGAAGGCGGGUCUCUGGGCAGUAACUGACGCUGAGGAGCGAAAGCGUGGGGAGCGAACAGG
rnacentral:rRNA from 1 species